CACAAAACACACACAAUCCGAACAUGUGUGUUUACAAAGUAGGCUCCCCUCGUCUCGGUGUUUGCAGGAGCCAGAUGACUGAAACCCGCCGCACCUGAGCGCCUAUGUUUGACCGGGUCAUGUGCUUCUUCAGACGGGCCGCCGACGCCCGGCUGCGUCGAGCUGACCCGCUCAAACUCUUUCUGGUCCUGGGCCCUUCCCCGCAUGUUUCUACAGACCGACAGUCAGCUUGGGGGAAAGAUGCUAUUGCUAACGAGGAAAAAAAAAAAACGGUGUUUCGUUUAUCUGUGCUACCCGUAAAUCUGUCCUACAUCGAUGCUACGUCACAUACUGCUUACUCAGCAGAUUUUUUUAUAAAUACGUCCUACCUGGGGAAGUUUUGUUUCAUCAAAGAUUACGAACGUGCUGUACAGUUUGGGGACAUCACGUCAGCAUUUCACGCGCCACUUUUCGAGGCCUUCUACGCAAGCGAACAAACGCAAAUUUGAGCUGGCGCUCACCUUUGACGGCGUGGACCAUCUGAGCGUGGAGGGCGGCCGGGACGAUGGGCUGGGGCAGAUCCUGCAGGUAUCUGCGCAGGCCGUCGCACAGGGCGGGCAGCUCCAGCUGGUCCAGCUCGGCGGUGGGAGGAUCUGAAAUGCAACGGCUUGGUUUGUGAGAAAACCGCAAGCUCUUUGAGUCACCAAUGUCAUGCGUGUGCAAACACAAAACCCCUUUUAUUUUCUGAAACUUCCUCUGUGUGUGUACUGGUCUCGUUUUGCUGACUGGAAAGUUACAAGGUUCACACACACACACACUCAAGCUGAUUAGGACAUGGGGAGUGGAAAAAAAUACCCAAAAACAAAACAUUCUUACCACAAUCACAAUACUGCCUGACUUCGAGUCCACCUCCAGCGGUGAACGUUCGAUACAGAGUUGGGUUGUCCACACCUGUCAAAAGGAGAACACAGACGUCACCCCGUGUGGUUCUGCCGAACUGGUCACCGAUCGACAGAGUCAACUGGGUCGUGAGGAGGAAGGCGGGUUGUCAUGGCAGCCUCACCUUUCCUCUCGAUAGCUUCCAGGAGUCUGGUCAGCAAGGGCGGGGCGGU